rnacentral:rRNA from 1 species
UACGUAGGGGGCGAGCGUUGUCCGGAUUUAUUGGGCGUAAAGAGCGUGUAGGCGGCCAGGUAGGUCUGCUGUGAAAAACUCGAGGCUCAACCUCGAGACGUCGGCGGAAACCAUCUGGCUAGAGUCCGGAAGAGGAGAGUGGAAUUCCUGGUGUAGCGGUGAAAUGCGCAGAUAUCAGGAAGAACACCCGUGGCGAAGGCGGCUCUCUGGUACGUGACUGACGCUGAGACGCGAAAGCGUGGGGAGCGAACAGG